rnacentral:rRNA from 1 species
CCUACGGGCGGCAGCAGUGAGGAAUAUUGGUCAAUGGGCGCGAGCCUGAACCAGCCAAGUAGCGUGAAGGAUGACGGCCCUACGGGUUGUAAACUUCUUUUAUAAAGGGAUAAAGUGCGGCACGUGUGCCGUUUUGUAUGUACUUUAUGAAUAAGGAUCGGCUAACUCCGUGCCAGCAGCCGCGGUAAUACGGAGGAUCCGAGCGUUAUCCGGAUUUAUUGGGUUUAAAGGGAGCGUAGAGGGGCUGUCAAGUCAGCUGUGAAAGUUUGCGGCUCAACCGGAGACUUGCAUUUGAUACUGGCAGUCUUGAGUACAGAAGAGGCAGGCGGAAUUCGUGGUGUAGCGGUGAAAUGCUUAGAUAUCACGAAGAACACCGAUUGCGAAGGCAGCUUACUGGACUGCCACUGACGCUGAGGCUCGAAAGUGUGGGUAUCAAACAGGAUUAGAUACCCGAGUAGUC